UGCUAAUACCGUAUAACAAUCGAAACCGCAUGGUUUUGAUUUGAAAGGCGCUUUCGGGUGUCGCUGAUGGAUGGACCCGCGGUGCAUUAGCUAGUUGGUGAGGUAACGGCUCACCAAGGCCACGAUGCAUAGCCGACCUGAGAGGGUGAUCGGCCACAUUGGGACUGAGACACGGCCCAAACUCCUACGGGAGGCAGCAGUAGGGAAUCUUCGGCAAUGGACGAAAGUCUGACCGAGCAACGCCGCGUGAGUGAAGAAGGUUUUCGGAUCGUAAAACUCUGUUGUUAGAGAAGAACAAGGAUGAGAGUAACUGUUCAUCCCUUGACGGUAUCUAACCAGAAAGCCACGGCUAACUACGUGCCAGCAGCCGCGGUAAUACGUAGGUGGCAAGCGUUGUCCG
rnacentral:rRNA from 1 species